rnacentral:rRNA from 1 species
UACGAAGGGGGCUAGCGUUGCUCGGAAUGACUGGGCGUAAAGGGCGCGUAGGCGGCUUACAUAGUCAGGCGUGAAAUUCCUGGGCUCAACCUGGGGGCUGCGUUUGAUACGUGUAGGCUUGAGUUCGGAAGAGGGUCGUGGAAUUCCCAGUGUAGAGGUGAAAUUCGUAGAUAUUGGGAAGAACACCGAUGGCGAAGGCAGCCCCCUGGGUUGACACUGACGCUCAGGCACGAAAGCGUGGGGAGCAAACAGG